UACGUAGGGGGCGAGCGUUGUCCGGAUUCAUGGGGCGUAAAGCGCGCGCAGGCGGCUACGCAAGUCGGCCGUGAAAUCUCCGGGCUCAACUCGGAGGGGUCGGGCGAGACUGUGUGGCUGGAGGCAGGUAGAGGGCGGUGGAAUUCCGGGUGUAGUGGUGGAAUGCGUAGAGCUCCGGAGGAACACCAGUGGCGAAGGCGGCCGCCUGGGCCUGACCUGACGCUGAGGCGCGAAAGCGUGGGGAGCGAGCCGG
rnacentral:rRNA from 1 species